AGCCCAGACUCCUACGGGAGGCAGCAGUGGGGAAUAUUGCACAAUGGGGGAAACCCUGAUGCAGCGACGCCGCGUGAGUGAAGAAGUAUUUCGGUAUGUAAAGCUCUAUCAGCAGGGAAGAAAAUGACGGUACCUGACUAAGAAGCCCCGGCUAACUACGUGCCAGUAGCCGCGGUAAUACGUAGGGGGCAAGCGUUAUCCGGAUUUACUGGGUGUAAAGGGUGCGUAGGUGGCAUGGCAAGUCAGAAGUGAAAGCCCGGGGCUCAACCCCGCGGACUGCUCUGGAAACUGUUAAGCUGGAGUGCGGGAGGGGCAGGCGGAAUUCCUGGUGUAGCGGUGAAAUGCGUAGAUAUCAGGAGGAACACCGGCGGCGAAGGCGGCCUGCUGGACCGUGACUGACGUUGAGGCUCGAAAGCGUGGGGAGCAAACAGGAUUAGAUACCCCCGUA
rnacentral:rRNA from 1 species